AUUGAAACACCAGUUCUCAUUCAAUCACCUAAGUUAAGCAACAUUGAGCCUGUUUAGUACUAAAAUGAGUGACCGCGGAGGAAUACCAGGUGCUGUAAG